CAGCAGCCACGGGAAUACGUAGGGUGCAAGCGUUAAUCGGAAUUACUGGGCGUAAAGCGUGCGCAGGCGGUUAUAUAAGACAGAUGUGAAAUCCCCGGGCUCAACCUGGGAACUGCAUUUGUGACUGUAUAGCUAGAGUACGGCAGAGGGGGAUGGAAUUCCGCGUGUAGCAGUGAAAUGCGUAGAUAUGCGGAGGAACACCGAUGGCGAAGGCAAUCCCCUGGGCCUGUACUGACGCUCAUGCACGAAAGCGUGGGGAGCAAACAGGAUUAGAGACCCCAGUAGUCCCUGUCUCUUAUAC
rnacentral:rRNA from 1 species